rnacentral:rRNA from 1 species
CGAGUGGCGGACGGGUGAGUAAUGUCUGGGAAACUGCCCGAUGGAGGGGGGUAACUACUGGAAACGGUAGCUAAUACCGCAUAACGUCGCAAGACCAAAGAGGGGGACCUUAGGGCCUCUUGCCAUCGGAUGUGCCCAGAUGGGAUUAGCUAGUAGGUGGGGUAAUGGCUCACCUAGGCGACGAUCCCUAGCUGGUCUGAGAGGAUGACCAGCCACACUGGAACUGAGACACGGUCCAGG